rnacentral:rRNA from 1 species
UGGGGAAUAUUGGACAAUGGGCGAAAGCCUGAUCCAGCAACGCCGCGUGAGGGAUGACGGCCUUCGGGUUGUAAACCUCUUUCAGCAGGGACGAAGCGAAAGUGACGGUACCUGCAGAAGAAGGACCGGCCAACUACGUGCCAGCAGCCGCGGUAAUACGUAGGGUCCGAGCGUUGUCCGGAAUUAUUGGGCGUAAAGGGCUCGUAGGCGGUCUGUCGCGUCGGGAGUGAAAACUCAGGGCUCAACCCUGAGCGUGCUUCCGAUACGGGCAGACUAGAGGUAUGCAGGGGAGAACGGAAUUCCUGGUGUAGCGGUGGAAUGCGCAGAUAUCAGGAGGAACACCGGUGGCGAAGGCGGUUCUCUGGGCAUGACCUGACGCUGAGGAGCGAAAGCAUGGGGAGCGAACAG